GCGAGGGUGGCGGAAUUGGCAGACGCGCCAGAUUUAGGAUCUGGUGGUUAUUCCGUGCGGGUUCGAGUCCCGCCUCUCGCACCA
rnacentral:tRNA from 1 species